AUUGAACGCUGGCGGCAUGCCUUACACAUGCAAGUCGAACGGCAGCACGGGAGCAAUCCUGGUAGCGAGUGGCGAACGGGUGAGUAAUAUAUCGGAACGUGCCCGGUCGUGGGGAUAACGUAGCGAAAGCUACGCUAAUACCGCAUACGAUCUACGGAUGAAAGCGGGGGAUCGCAAGACCUCGCGCGAUUGGAGCGGCCGAUAUCAGAUUAGGUAGUUGGUGAGGUAAAGGCUCACCAAGCCGACGAUCUGUAGCUGGUCUGAGAGGACGACCAGCCACACUGGGACUGAGACACGGCCCAGACUCCUACGGGAGGCAGCAGUGGGGAAUUUUGGACAAUGGGCGCAAGCCUGAUCCAGCAAUGCCGCGUGCAGGAUGAAGGCC
rnacentral:rRNA from 1 species